CCUACGGGAGGCAGCAGUGGGGAAUAUUGGGCAAUGGGCGCAAGCCUGACCCAGCAACGCCGCGUGAAGGAAGAAGGCUCUCGGGUUGUAAACUUCUUUUAUCAGGGACGAAGCAAGUGACGGUACCUGAUGAAUAAGCCACGGCUAACUACGUGCCAGCAGCCGCGGUAAUACGUAGGUGGCAAGCGUUAGCCGGAUUUACUGGGUGUAAAGGGCGUGUAGGCGGGAAAGCAAGUCCGAUGCGAAAAACAUGGGCUCAACCUGUGGCCUGCAUUUGAAACUGUUUUUCUUGAGUACUGGAGAGGCAGACGGAAUUCCUAGUGUAGCGGUGAAAUGCGUAGAUAUUAGGAGGAACACCAGUGGCGAAGGCGGUCUGCUGGACAGCAACUGACGCUGAGGCGCGAAAGCGUGGGGAGCAAACAGGAUUAGAUACCCGGGUAGUC
rnacentral:rRNA from 1 species